UACGUAGGGGGCUAGCGUUAUCCGGAAUUACUGGGCGUAAAGGGUGCGUAGGUGGUUUCUUAAGUCAGAGGUGAAAGGCUACGGCUCAACCGUAGUAAGCCUUUGAAACUGGGAAACUUGAGUGCAGGAGAGGAGAGUGGAAUUCCUAGUGUAGCGGUGAAAUGCGUAGACAUUAGGAGGAACACCAGUUGCGAAGGCGGCUCUCUGGACUGUAACUGACACUGAGGCACGAAAGCGUGGGGAGCAAACAGGAUUAGAUACCCCCGUAGUCCCUGAGCGGG
rnacentral:rRNA from 1 species